ensembl:lncRNA
UUGCAGGGAUGUUUGCAGAGGAAAAGGAACCAGUUGUGGAAGUAGAGGAGGAGGAGGAGGAGGAGGAGGAGGAAGAGGAAGAAGAAGAUGAUGUAGAUGAAGUGGAAGAUGAGGAAGAGGAUGGAGAGGAUGAGGAUACGGAAGAAGAGGAUGAAGAUGAGGAAGAAGAUGAUGAGGAUGAGGAAGGGGAAGAGGAGGAAGAAGAGGAGGAAGAGGAUGAGGAAGAGGAAGCAGCAGCUGAGGCCGAGGUAGAUGAUGAUGAUGAUGAUGAUGAUGACGAUGAUGAUGAUGAUGAAGCAGAUGAAGAGGACUCUGCUGCAGCGACUGAAGAAGAUGAUGAUGAGGACGAAGAGGUGGCUUCAGAGGCUGAUGAUGAGGAGGAUGAUGAUGAGGAGGAGGAAGAGGCUACUCCACAGGCUGAUGAUGAGGAGGAGGAGGAAGAGGCUGUUCCACAGGCUGAUGAUGAGGAGGAUGAUGAUGAGGAGGAAGAGGCUACUCCACAGGCUGAUGAUGAUGAGGAGGAGGAGGAGGAGGAAGAGGCUGCUGCAGCUGAUGAGGUGGCAGAGGAAAAUGAAGGUGAAGAUGAAGCUGCUGCAGAGGUCAUUGCUGAGAUUGAUGAGGAUGAGGGCCCCAUUCUGAUUGAUGUUGAUGACACAGAGACAGAAACCUCUGCUGGAGAUGAUGGAGAGGAGGAUGACACCAUAGCUGAAGAUGAAACUGAAGCAAUUACAGAUGAGGAUGUCAGUGAUGCUGCUGCUGCUUCCACUGAUGAUGAUGAUGAUGAUAAGGAAGCGGAUGAAAAUGCUGUAGCUGGUCCUGCUGCUGCCAGUGAUGAAGCCACAGAUCAUGCUCCUGUUUCGACUGCUGCUGAUGAUGAUGAUGUUGAUGAAGAAGAUCAUAGCAUAGAUGUUGACCAAACACAUGACGAUACUAAACCCAUUGACCUAGAAGAUGACGAUGAUGAUAUCAAAGUUGAUCUUGCUGAUAGUGAGGAUAUUGAUAUCUCAGACACAUUAGUUGAGGAUACAACUGAUGACUCUACAGAUUUAGAGGACACUGAUGAUGACGAUGAUGGCAAAGUCAGUGAGGACAAUGGUGCCGUCGUUGAUGACGAUGACGAUGACAAAACAGUCGAGGAUUCAGGAGAGACUGCUAGAGAUGUCGCAGACAUUUCUGAUGACACAGAAGAUGAUGAUGAUGAUGAUGAGGAUGAGGUGAAGGAUUCAGCUGAAGAGAUCGGCAAAGAAGAUGACGAUGAGGAUAAUAAAAUCACAACAGAAGCCUUUCAUAGUUCAGCACCUGAAGAAGAUGAUCUAUCCAAGGAUGAUGACGAUGAUGAUGAUGACAUUGAUGACCUUCUUUUGACAGAACUGAAGGUCAAGCAAGCUGCUCCUCCUGCAGAACAAGGUAUAUCAGAGCAGCCUGGUCUGUAAUGAUCUGAAUAUAAGUGAAAAAGAAACAAUUAUAAAUAGGGAAUUGCACAUUUCAAUGAUCUAUUCCGCUCUAUGUAGUCUCUAUGUAGUCUUAAAGCUAUGCAUUCCAUUUUACAGUAGUGUGCCCUUGUAUGCAUUCGUCCAAGCCCAAAGAGGCCAAAAGUGAGCCAACGGAGGGGAAAGGUAUUUAUAUACCGAUAAUAGAUCAAUAUCAUGCAUGGUUGUGGAGAAGUGAGAGCCAUUCAUUACUAACCCCUUUUUAUCUUUACCGUACCUUCGGCUGACCUUAUUUCUCAUAGUAAGGGCUGUGUUCCCCUAUGGGCCAGAUGCAUUUUUAUAUGCCAAAUAUUGGAGUGAUUCUUUCUGCAUUGCUUUAGUCUUGAAUUCAUCUUGAACGUAGAACUGGCUGUAGAGAGAAGCUUUACAAAUGGCAGGAAGUAUCCUCUGACUUUGAGAGGAUCUUAUGUGUAGUAGACUUAACAUCUGUUUCUGACUUACGAGUCUAUUGGCAAUACUUAUUAAAACGUUGGUUGGACGAUAUCCGUGUUGUAAGUUCCAUUUGUGGCUUAAAUGGUGUUGUUGAUGGUGGUGUUGUGGUGUUGUUGACAUACUGACUCUCAUUGUCCAUUGUUACAACUUGCAGUGUUUCUACCAAACAUAUAUUUCAAGUUCAGUAAUGACAAUCCUCGGUGACUUCAUAUUGCGUUGUGGUUGGUGUUUCCUUGGUUUUGCUUCUCAAAGUCGCCAUCUAGUGGAAAGGUUUAGAGAAGCCAUGCAUUAGGGUGCAUUUCACUAAUGGACGGUAUAUCUGUGACAUAUAGCUAAAAGUGUCAGGAGGGAAUUAGCCAGGGAAGGUAUGCUAGAGUCACUUUAUCCUUCGUGUGGUUAGGAAUAGCAACACAGUAGUGUAUCUCUUCUUGCUCCCUUACGGAGGGUGUUGGUCGCUGUUGAAGUAAGAGCUUAUAUAGAAGUAGAGGAACAGGAAUGCAAAGCACUUAACAGGCCCAGAGCAGCACUCUCAAUAUGUAACUCUCAAUGUGUAACAUUGUGUAGGGCGGCUGGUAGCCUAGCGGUUAGAGCGUUGGACCAGUAACCAAAAGAUCGCUCGAAUGCCCGCUGGAAAGUACUAUAAACUGUGAAGCAUCCAUGUAUGCUGUAAAUGAUAUGUACCAGUGACGCUGGUCUCACGUUUUUGCAUGUUUUUGUAAGAUUUCACUUGAAGUGUUCAGAUGUAGUGUGUUUUUGUCUUAAUAACAUGUUUGUAACUGGAAGUACGUUGAGACCUCAGAGUGCAUGGCAGUAUUGAAGCUUGCUGCAAUAGGCACAAUGCUGGCCCCUGCUGUUUGAAAAGAGGCAAAUCUACAUUGGUGAUGGAUACAGUAUGUCUAUAUCUGUACAUUGUGUCGAUGUGUUUUCUGUUUGAUAGCGCUAUGCUAGAAAGGCACAUUAUAUGAGCAUUGCAUGAUAAAGUAUGCACUCUGAGUUGUUGACUUUGUAGGAUCUCAAGUGUCCUAUUGCUUGUCUGAAACUACCUUUUUCAGAGUAAGAUAAAAGGUUAAAGACAAUCAAAAUUUAACACUGGUCUGUAACACAUUCAUAUUAUAUGUUUGCUGAGUCCGAGCCUAAUUUAAAAUGUAUUAAUAAUAUCAUUUUUCAAAACUCAACUUUGUGACUUGUUUGACUACCAAUUUUCUCAUCCACAGUUAAAAUGGCCACUCCCGACAGGAAGAGCAUGUGUUGUGAAGCUGAGAUGUCAUGUUGCUUUGAAAGUAGCUUUGAAAGUAGCAUAGAGACUAGAGGGGACAGAUGAACCAAUUCAAUUUUAGUGCAAAUCUGUUGAUCUUUAUACUGGUGGAGUGUCUUUCAUUCUCUUCCGGUUCGAUCGGGUAUCUUUUCAAAGUUAAAGAUGGAACAAAAAUGUAAUUGUAUAUUCUUGAUGGUUUAUCUGCUUCACCUCUUUGCUACAUUUGACAUAAGUAGUUAGCUGUUCAAUAUAAUAAUGCCAAUGUUGAUCUAAGCUAUUUAAAUGUUCACACAUUUUUCAUUUUCAUAUAUUUUUUAAUACAAUAUGGUUUUAUUAUAAAACAGCUAUACAUGCCUGAACGUGUUCUCAAAAAGCUGGCGUCCAUCUUUGGCAUGCAACUACAGUGCUAAGCAAGAAUGUGGAUAGAAUGUUCCCUUAUGUAUUCUGCGUUCAUUUUCAGAGCCCCCUAAAAAGGAACCAGUAGUGAGAGCUAAGAGAGGUACUGUGUGACAACUACGUGUUUUCUGUACUUUUACUGUGUAUUUGAGUGUUGAUCAUACAGAAUAUUAGGUAAGGACGAAACCUGCUGAAAGUAAUAGUUGCUCGAUAUAUGAGAAGAACAUCAAUGACAUGUAUUCAUGAUUGAUUUCCCCCCUUUUCUGCCGUAAAGAGCGUGACAUGUGCAGGCCAGUUGAGAAGCCAAAAAGGAGAGGUAGGAAUCAUCUCCAUUUGCAGCUCAUUAUCACGUCUCUGAAAUAGCAGAUGAAAAAUGUCUAGAAGAUGAACGGCAAGUGACCUUAUGCAAUAGCCUACUAUAUUGCUGCAUUUCAAAUGAAUAACAGGGAAAAGCUGUUUGCAAGUUGUUUGAAUAAAACAAAACAAAACGAAACAAUGAAUAAAUGUAAAUAUUCUAAGAUCACUUUGCAUGUGUGGCUGAAUCUCUGUAACUCCAACUAUGUCAUUUAACCAGAGGCUGCAAGGAAAUUGGAAUUAGAAGCAGCGAUCAGGAAGAGAGGUAAGACAUUCUGAAAUACAGUACAAGCCCAAGAUGAAUGACUUAGCCGUGUAUAUGUAAACAUAUAUUCAAAUCUUCUUCAAUGUCCUUUGGCAGUACACUGCAGAACAGUACAUACUUCUGUGUAGUUAGAUGGAGGAAAAAGUAUAUUCGAUGAUUAAAAGGUAUUCUUUCUCAGUGCCUACCGCCAUUCAUCAGUUCUCCUAGUGGGGAGAUGAAGGUCUUUACAGCGGCUGAGGUGGAAAAAGACUUCAAAGUCACCUAUCAGAUGUAACCCCAUUGUACCGUACUGUUUCCCUUUCCCUCCUUAGAACUAAGACUUAAAAAGGAAGCGAAGGCCACAAAGGAAGGUAACUCAGUCAUGCAAUAAUCACACCGUGGUUUUAACAGUCCUUCUGUAAAGGUACUUGUGUUGUGUUUGUCCCAACACCUCUUUUUUUAUCACGUUGCAGAGUCUCAACAUGUAGAUGCUGGGGUGCCUGCACCUGCACCUGCACCUCCGCCAGGUACAUUUGUAGAGAUAAAACAUUUAGAUGCGGUAGCACUGUGUCAUCUUAGGACACAAUGCAGCAGC